CCUACGGGCGGCAGCAGUGAGGAAUAUUGGUCAAUGGGCGGAAGCCUGAACCAGCCAAGUAGCGUGCAGGAUGACGGCCCUACGGGUUGUAAACUGCUUUUAUACGGGAAUAACGCGCCUUACGUGUAGGUCUUUGCAUGUACCGUAUGAAUAAGGACCGGCUAAUUCCGUGCCAGCAGCCGCGGUAAUACGGAAGGUCCGGGCGUUAUCCGGAUUUAUUGGGUUUAAAGGGAGCGUAGGCCGCAUGUCAAGCGUGCUGUGAAAUGUCCGGGCUCAACCCGGGCCAUGCAGCGCGAACUGGGGUGCUUGAGUCCGCGGAAAGCAGGCGGAAUUCGUCGUGUAGCGGUGAAAUGCUUAGAUAUGACGAAGAACCCCGAUUGCGAAGGCAGCUUGCUGCAGCGUAACUGACGCUGAUGCUCGAAAGCGCGGGUAUCGAACAGGAUUAGAUACCCCAGUAGUC
rnacentral:rRNA from 1 species